rnacentral:lncRNA from 1 species
GCUUUAUGGACCACAGCGCUGUCCUGGAUGUGGAUCCACAACACGGGUCUUUGAUCCACAAAGCAAGAAUCAAGGCUGAGGACAGUCCCACCACAACAGAAAGCUUCAGCCCAUCAGCGUCCCACGCCCUGCCUGCCAACGAAGGCUUCAGUCGAGAACAAACGCUGUUCUUCAUCGACUUGAUGCGGCAACACCUGGAGACGGAAGCCGACGGCCUCCCAAAGACCCUGAAAGAGCUGAACUCUCGUCUGAAGUCUGCCAGGUCCAACUUGAGGAGCCUGUGGAAGGAGACGGCAGAGACGCUCAGCAGCCACUUCUCCGAAUCCUUCUGUCCUGAUAAAGUGGCUAGGAAGUGGAACACGCUGAUCGAGGCCUACAGAAAAAUAAAGGAGAACAACAAAGACACGGGAAGAGGAAACAUCCGCUUCCGUUUCUUUCCAGAGAUGGACGAGCUCCUAGCGGGGCAGCACGACGUGGUCUUCCCUGUGUUUGGCUCAUCAGUGCGGUUAAACGUGAGACCGGAGGUUCUUUGGCCCUCGGUUGUCGGCGGGUCCCUAACAGAGGCUGGCCCCGCCUCCAGCACCCACACGGCUCCGACACGGCCUCACAAGCGUCGGCGCGGACAAGAUGACGUCCUCCAGUUCCUCCGUGAGUCCGAGGAGGCCAGUCAGAGGCGCCACGAGGAGGCACAGCGGCGCCAUGAAGAACUGCUGACUCAGCUGAAGUCGGCCCAGCAUGGGUUCGAGAGCCUGAUGGGUCGACUCCUAGAGAAACUAUGAGUCAUCAUUGUUCACACUUUUUUAUACAGUUUACCUGAGGUUGUUUUCCUCUUUGUUUAUAAUUACAAGGAAAUAUUUUGUAUAUUUUAUUUUAAAAUAUUGAAUUAAAUUGUAAAAAAAACUCUGCUUGGCGUGUUGUUGUGGAUAAUUCACACAUUAAUAACCAUACAAAUGUUGUUUUUCCCCAAAAAAUCACGAUAAAAUGUAUAAACCAGUUUCAAUAUGGAUUAAAUUUGGCGAGAUAAUUGAGGAACGAACUCGACAUAACCGAG